CUACGGGCCGCUGCAGUGGGGAAUAUUGCACAAUGGGCGCAAGCCUGAUGCAGCCAUGCCGCGUGUAUGAAGAAGGCCUUCGGGUUGUAAAGUACUUUCAGCGGGGAGGAAGGGAGUAAAGUUAAUACCUUUGCUCAUUGACGUUACCCGCAGAAGAAGCACCGGCUAACUCCGUGCCAGCAGCCGCGGUAAUACGGAGGGUGCAAGCGUUAAUCGGAAUUACUGGGCGUAAAGCGCACGCAGGCGGUUUGUUAAGUCAGAUGUGAAAUCCCCGGGCUCAACCUGGGAACUGCAUCUAAUACUGGCAAGCUUGAGUCUCGUAGAGGGGGGUGGAAUUCCAGGUGUAGCGGUGAAAUGCGUAGAGAUCUGGAGGAAUACCGGUGGCGAAGGCGGCCCCCUGGACGAAGACUGACGCUCAGGUGCGAAAGCGUGGGGAGCAAACAGGAUUAGAUACCCGUGUAGUC
rnacentral:rRNA from 1 species